rnacentral:ncRNA from 2 species
AAACUGAAAAAAGCGCUGGUGCUUGGGAAAAAUCCGUUGCAUACUCAUCUGCAGCCUGGAAUCCGGGACCGUUCAAAAGGGUCCAGAUACUAGGCACGACGAGGACGCGCGCGCAGACAGUACAUUCCAAAGGGUACGGCAAGCGCGCGCCCGCAGGAGUAACGACGCAGAUGGGCUCUUUUCAACGGUCCCCGAGCAGACGAGGGAGAGGUUUAUCGAACCGUCAGCGGAUGCCUCUCGGCUGGGCGGACGCAGCCGCAAGCAAUCGACAAAACCGCAAAGCGAUUUGCGGGACAAAACGGAUUGCGGCGUCCGAA